AGGUUCGUGGUGACCUGCGGAGGAUCAUUA
rnacentral:rRNA from 1 species